UACGUAGGGGGCAAGCGUUGUCCGGAUUUAUUGGGCGUAAAGCGCCCGCAGGCGGCUUGAUAAGUUUCAGGUGAAAUCUCCCGGCUCAACCGGGAGGGUGCCUGGAAAACUAUCAGGCUUGAGUCAUGGAGAGGGAUGUGGAAUUCCCGGUGUAGUGGUGAAAUGCGUAGAUAUCGGGAGGAACACCGGUGGCGAAGGCGGGUCUCUGGGCAGUAACUGACGCUGAGGAGCGAAAGCGUGGGGAGCGAACAGG
rnacentral:rRNA from 1 species